GACGAACGCUGGCGGCGUGCUUAACACAUGCAAGUCGAACGGAAAGGCCCUGCUUUUGUGGGGUGCUCGAGUGGCGAACGGGUGAGUAACACGUGAGUAACCUGCCCUUGACUUUGGGAUAACUUCAGGAAACUGGGGCUAAUACCGGAUAGGAGCUCCUGCUGCAUGGUGGGGGUUGGAAAGUUUCGGCGGUUGGGGAUGGACUCGCGGCUUAUCAGCUUGUUGGUGGGGUAGUGGCUUACCAAGGCUUUGACGGGUAGCCGGCCUGAGAGGGUGACCGGCCACAUUGGGACUGAGAUACGGCCCAGACUCCUACGGGAGGCAGCAGUGGGGAAUAUUGCACAGUGGGCGGAAGCCUGAUGCAGCAACGCCGCGUGCGGGAUGACGGCCUUCGGGUUGUAAACCGCUUUCGCCUGUGACGAAGCGUGAGUGACGGUAAUGGGUAAAGAAGCACCGGCUAACUACGUGCCAGCAGCCGCGGUGAUACGUAGGGUGCGAGCGUUGUCCGGAUUUAUUGGUCGUAAAGGGCUCGUAGGUGGUUGAUCGCGUCGGAAGUGUAAUCUUGGGGCUUAACCCUGAGCGUGCUUUCGAUACGGGUUGACUUGAGGAAGGUAGGGGAGAAUGGAAUUCCUGGUGGAGCGGUGGAAUGCGCAGAUAUCAGGAGGAACACCAGUGGCGAAGGCGGUUCUCUGGGCCUUUCCUGACGCUGAGGAGCGAAAGCGUGGGGAGCGAACAGGCUUAGAUACCCUGGUAGUCCACGCUGUAAACGGUGGGUACUAGGUGUGGGGUCCAUUCCACGGGUUCCGUGCCGUAGCUAACGCUUUAAGUACCCCGCCUGGGGAGUACGGCCGCAAGGCUAAAACUCAAAGGAAUUGACGGGGCCCCGCACAAGCGGCGGAGCAUGCGGAUUAAUUCGAUGCAACGCGUAGAACCUUACCUGGGUUUGACAUGGAUCGGGAGUGCUCAGAGAUGGGUGUGCCUCUUUUGGGGUCGGUUCACAGGUGGUGCAUGCCUGUCGUCAGCUCGUGUCGUGAGAUGUUGGGUUAAGUCCCGCAACGAGCGCAACCCUUGUUCACUGUUGCCAGCACGUUAUGGUGGGGACUCAGUGGAGACCGCCGGGGUCAACUCGGAGGAAGGUGGGGAUGACGUCAAGUCAUCAUGCCCCUUAUGUCCAGGGCUUCACGCAUGCUACAAUGGCUGGUACAGAGAGUGGCGAGCCUGUGAGGGUGAGCGAAUCUCGGAAAGCCGGUCUCAGUUCGGAUUGGGGUCUGCAACUCGACCUCAUGAAGUCGGAGUCGCUAGUAAUCGCAGAUCAGCAACGCUGCGGUGAAUACGUUCCCGGG
rnacentral:rRNA from 1 species